rnacentral:rRNA from 1 species
UGGGGAAUUUUGGACAAUGGGCGAAAGCCUGAUCCAGCAAUGCCGCAGUCGUGUGAUGAAGGCAGCUUCGGGUUGUAAAGCACUUUUGUCCGGAAAGAAAUCCUUGGCUCUAAUACAGUCGGGGGAUGACGGUACCGGAAGAAUAAGCACCGGCUAACUACGUGCCAGCAGCCGCGGUAAUACGUAGGGUGCAAGCGUUAAUCGGAAUUACUGGGCGUAAAGCGUGCGCAGGCGGUUUGCUAAGACCGAUGUGAAAUCCCCGGGCUCAACCUGGGAACUGCAUUGGUGACUGGCAGGCUAGAGUAUGGCAGAGGGGGGUAGAAUUCCACGUGUAGCAGUGAAAUGCGUAGAGAUGUGGAGGAAUACCGAUGGCGAAGGCAGCCCCUGGGCCAAUACUGACGCUCAUGCACGAAAGCGUGGGGAGCAAACAGGAUUAGAUACCCUGGUAGUCCACGCCCUAAACGAUGUCAACUAGUUGUUGGGGAUUCAUUUCCUUAGUAACGUAGCUAACGCGUGAAGUUGACCGCCUGGGGAGUACGGUCGCAAGAUUAAAACUCAAAGGAAUUGACGGGGUCAUAGCUGUUUCCU